ACUCCUACGGGAGGCAGCAGUGGGGAAUAUUGCACAAUGGGGGAAACCCUGAUGCAGCCAUGCCGCGUGUGUGAAGAAGGCCUUGGGUUGUAAAGCACUUUCAGUAGGGAGGAAGGUAGUGUAGUUAACACCUGCACUUAUUUGUACGUUACCUACAGAAGAAGCACCGGCUAACUCCGUGCCAGCAGCCGCGGUAAUACGGAGGGUGCGAGCGUUAAUCGGAAUUACUGGGCGUAAAGCGCAUGCAGGCGGCCUGUUAAGUCAGAUGUGAAAGCCCGGGGCUUAACCUCGGAAUUGCAUUUGAAACUGGCAGGCUAGAGUCUUGUAGAGGGGUUAGAAUUUCAGGUGUAGCGGUGAAAUGCGUAGAGAUC
rnacentral:rRNA from 1 species